CUGACUUGUCCGCAUCCAGAGAGGAGGCCUGGAAUAUGCUGUCCAAAGUGCCCCGAUUGCACUCAGGACAACCGAGUGGUGCUGGACGGAGAGGAGCUGCCUAACCCGCUGAACCCCUGCCAGGCGUGCCUGUGCACUGCUGGAGAACUGCGCUGCAAGGAGCGUCAGUGCCCGGGCGCCCUAUGCGCUCACCCCUUGCCCGGAUCCUGCUGCCAGAACAACUGCAACGGCUGCAACUACGCCGG